rnacentral:lncRNA from 1 species
AGUUGUGCAGGGAACCACAGCUAUUUCCAGUAGAAUCAGACCCCAGCUGAGUAGCAUCCUGCCCUUUUCCUUUUUUCCCAGAACUGCAGAAAUGCCAACCGGCCUGGCACCAGGCACGAAGGAUGCACGCACGUCUCCUCUUCCCUGGUCCUCCCAGAAGCAAGCUUGUGAAAUGUGACCAGUAUUCACAAAAAAAAGAAAAGAAAAAAAAAGAAAAAAAAAAAAAGAAAGAAAGAAAGAAAGAAGAAAGUUUCAGGCCACUUUAGUCACAAAUAUCUACCCAAAGGUUCCCUUGGCUGACAACCCAGGGCACAACUCCUGCUUCCGUGAGUGCCUAAUACAAGAGUUGAAGCUCCCGGAGCCUUCUUUGAAAAAUGCCAUGCCUAAUGUUCUACUACAGAUGUUUGCCUUGAGUCAAAUAUGGAGCUUAUGUAAAAUUAUAUGUAGGUUGGUGCUACAUUUUUGAGAUCCUGUAAUUGUCUGAGCACUAGGAUUCACCACCGAGGAGACACUGAUAGACAUGUUGCAAUUAGUAGGAAUAGAAUGAACAAAAAGAGAUCCGGCUUCGAAUCUUGCCUCUGCCAUUUAAAAACUCCAACUUGGACAAAAUACUUGCCUGAGCCUCCAUGUCCUUGUUUUUAAGGUGAGAAAAGGUUUCUGUACCUUUACUACUUAAGGUAGUUACUAUUUAACUAUUGUCAAGGUUAAAAAUAAGUGGCCUGGUGCACAGUGAGCCCUCAGUGACGAGAUGCGUCUGACCAGGCAAUGAGCACUGUUCCUUUCACCUUGCUCCCUCCUUGACCUUCAUCAGGAAAAUUAUGUGAUUUCAGUUCCCUCUCCCCCCUCCUGGAUUUCUCAUUUGGGAAUUGAUGCUCAAAACUGUGAUGUGCUGAUGGAAGGUCCUGGACCAUUUUUCCUGUUCUUCUGUAUAGUGAUAAAUGGAACAUAUUAUUGAAAUAAACUGACUAUUAUUAUAGCAACUUUACUUGGCAGCUGAUCUCAUUCUAUUCUUUCAUGUCUUAGAAAGUAACUUUUAUUAAUAUUUAACAUUUAUUUAUGUGCCUACCUGGUGGUGUGUGCUGUACAGAUAAUGCAAAAAAUGCCCACUUUCUGGGCUUCAGGAGCUCGUCCUCUCCGAUGAUGGACAGCUAGCUCUAUCCAUGUCCUUGAAGGGUAAACAGUAGAGAACAGUUGUGCGCUGGCAGGGGGUGCCACUGUCUGAGCCCGCGUGCCGUCCAGCCCUGUCCUAUAUAUAUGCUCAGUCUGUUUCGUGCACGCAUUCGAGAUUCCGAGAGGUCUGCACGGAAGCAUUUGGUCAGCCC